rnacentral:rRNA from 1 species
CCAAUAGCGUAUAUUAGUGUUGUUGCGGUUAAAAAGCUCGUAGUUGAAUUUCGGGAUUGGGAUAUAUUGGUCAUGCCUUUAGGGGCAUGAAUCGGUGUGUAGCCAAUUUCUCACCUUCUGGUGAAUUGGGAUGCUCUUGGGUGUUUCAAUGAACUAGGACUUUUACUUUGAAAAAAAUAUAGUGUUUAAAGCGGGCAUUUUUGCUUGAAUACAUUAGCAUGGAAUAAUAAAAUAGGACGAUGGUUCUAUUUUGUUGGUUUUAGGACCACGUAAUGAUUAAUAGGGAUAGUUGGGGGCAUUAGUAUUCAAUAGUCAGAGGUGAAAUUCUUGGAUUUAUUGAGGACUAACUACUGCGAAAGCAUUUGCCAAGGAUGUUUUCAUUAAUCAAGAACGAAAGUUAGGGGAUCGAAGACGAUUUAUGUACGUCGUAGUCUUAACCAUAAACUAUGCCGACUAGGAAUCAGACAAAGUUCAUUUUUUAACGACUUGUUUGGUACCUUACG